rnacentral:lncRNA from 1 species
GAGGACAGGUGCAAGCGCUCUUCCAUCAGCUCCCAGAUGACCUGGCGUUGCUUCAUUUUCUCUCUGCUUACUCGAGAGGCAAGGCUCUUGCCUGGGAUGGUUCCUAUAGUCAAGCGAGUCAGUGGAUCGGCUUCAAGGGAGCUGUCUGUUUGCCCAGCUGCUGCUCGUUUUCCACAGCAGCUCUCGUGCACCGUCCCUUCAUUUCCUACAGGAGUGUGCCCCGAAUUCCUAACCAGACUGUGAGCUUCUUGAGGUUUCACCGAGAGUUGGCUGAAAAAGGGCCCAGAGAGGGACUAAGGGAAAAAAUUUCCCAUACACCAACAUCAAGAAAGGAAAUGACAGGCUAUUGUUUGGCCAUAGUUCCUUGCUGCCUCCAGCACUGCCUCCACCCAUGCUGCAGCAACCAUGUUGCCAGUCAACCAAUCAGCAACAGUUUCACUCCAGUGACCGUGUGGCUAACAGUCAGCCAAUCAGCAACAGCUUCACUCCAGUGACCGUGUGGCUAACAGCCAGCCAAUCAGCAACAGCUUCACUCCGGUGACCGUGUGGCUAACAGCCAGCCAAUCAGCAACAGCUUCACUCCGGUGACCGUGUGGCUAACAGUCAGCCAAUCAGCAACAGCUUCACUCCGGUGACCGUGUGGCUAACAGUCAGCAAUCAGCAACAGCUUCACUCCAGCAACCACUGCUGCUGAACGUGAGGUUGCAGAAUCAGCAACAGCCACACUUCUGUAACCAUAUUUCCACAGCUAAAGAUGAACAAUCCAUGAACACUCCCACUUCUGAGAGUCUGUGCACCGCUGAGCCGCACGCUUCCCGAACACUCUACAACCAGUUGUUGCUUUGUUCAGUGUGCACCUCACAAGGAUGGCUCUCCCUUGUGUAGCAGACACUUGGGUCUCUGCACUGAGACACCGAGUGGGGGCCUCUUCCUCUUCCUUUUGGGGGUGGAGCAUCAGACACAGCAAGAGCCGCUUGCCAGAUAGAAUGAUGGCACCGUGAAGGCAGGCGCCAGGUCAGCCUUUCUCACUGUUCUAUCUCCGUUCUGCGGACAGCAGUAACAAAGAGGAGUAAC